rnacentral:lncRNA from 1 species
AAUAAUACAAGCUUUAUAUUACAAGCCACGGGUCUCGAGGGCUCGAUUACAUAAGCUCGAAAACACAAGAGUCAGCGGAAGCAACAAUAUCUGAGUACAGACAUCAGUUAGACAAGUCUGCCUUAAGAAAGCUAGCACAAAAGCAACAUCGAUCGAAAAGGCAAGGCCCCCUGCCUGGGAGCCUCCUAACUACUCCUAGUCGUCGGCUGUCUUCACGUAGUAGUAGGCAUCCUCUGGGUAGUAGUAGUCAUCGGUGGCGUCGUCUGGCUCCUGGGAUCCGUCAUCUGGUUGCAACAAUCGGGUAUGGGGGGAAAAGAAGUAGCAAAGCAACCGUGAGUACUCAUCCAAAGUACUCGCAAGACUUACAUCAGAUCUAAACUAAGUAUGCAUAUGUAUCAAAGGAAUGGGUUGUAUCUGUGGCUAAACUGCAGAAUGCCAGAAGGGAAGGGGAAAGCCUAGCCUAUCGAAGACUAGCAUCUUCUGGAACCCACCAUCUUGCAGCAACAGGAGGGAGUAGAGUAGCAUAAAGUAAAGUAGCAGUAGUGUUAUCAACCUCGGCCAGAGAUCCUUUCUCGACUCCCCGCGAGAAAGCAAUUCCAGAGCCAUACUAUCCAGUUAUCAUCACAAUCCAAUUCUCACCACCAUCCAGUUCUCAUCACAAGGAUCCAGUUCUAGUUGUAUCGAUCGGGAUACAACUCCAAGUGUCCGUUACCGUAGGACAGGCUACCGAUAGAUGUUUUCUUCCCUGCAGGGGUGCACCAACUUACCCACCACGCUCGAUUAACUCCGGCCGGACACACUUUCCUGGGUCAUGCCCGGCCUCGGCCAAACAAUACGCCGUAGCCCGACCUAGGCUUAAUAGAGAGGCCAACACGCCGGACUAAACCUAUGCCCCCAAGGGUCAUGGGCCAUCUCCCCGGGAACUCCUGCACGUUGCGUACGCGGCCGGUGAGCAGACCUAGCUACCUCCUUCAACAAGGCAGGAGCUUACGCAGUCCAACCCGGCGCGCGCCGCUCAGUCGCUGAAAUCUAUUGAGCUUCGGCUGAUGCAUACGACGCAGAACGCCCAUACUAUGCCCACGUGAUGGUUAGUGCUAUCAGGCCAGAGGCCCCUCGGAUUUAAUAUCCAAAUCGUAGUGGAUUAGGAACGCGCGGUAACGAGCAGAGACUCAUGAUUGAUGUGACCCCGUCGCCCCGUCUCGAGUACUUGCGGCAAGGGCUAAGAAUGCCCGGCCACGCCUCGUAAGUAUCUCGCGGGCACCUUCCAGGUCAACCCGACUCCACAUCACUCGCUAUUAAGCUCGCGCGGGUACCCCUCAGGGCUGACCCGUCUUUAGUAACAUGGCUCAGUGCAAAGUCGAAGUAACCAUAGUAACUGUGUGUCUAACACCAAGGGGAAAACCUGAGAAAUCACCCCCGAUGAAAUCCACUCGAUGUUAUCAUCAAAGUGAACGUAAGAGGAUUCACCCUCGAGGUUCACACUUGAGGGGUUGCACGACAGAGCCAUAACAGAAGUGGUUAAGGAGGAAAUCACCCUCGAUGACCACAAUCGUAUAGCUACACUAUAGAGAUCUCAUACCUAGACUGUGCUGAUUCUUUUUAUACCUAGACUGUGCUAGCCAGAGUAGCAAGAGUUAAAGACAAGUGGGUCCUGGGUCAAAGUCAACACAGUCAAACUGACUGGUCAACAAGGUCAGUGGGACCUAGCUGUCAUAGUCACAUGGGCAACUUAAAAGAAUUAACUAAUUUAGUUAGGGAGUGGGUCCUACUGUCAUGGACAAAACCUGAAUUAGAUUCAUUUAAUUCGGUUAUUUAAGCAAAGUGGCCCUCACGUCAUACUCUACUAGUUGAACUAGCUAGGCAAUUAGACUAAUCUAACUUAGUACAGUAUAUUAGACAGGGCCAACCCCAUGUGUGCACACACGCACAACACGGGAGCCACGGGCCAUGGCUACGGCCAGUCGGCCACUGCCCAGCCGAGCGCGGGCGCUACCAAGGGAGGGCGCCGGCUCAUGUUGGUGUGGGUGUGGACGCGCGUGCGCGGCGCGGCUAGGGUGCAUGCAGGCGGGUACGGCGGCGGGUGUGGGCGGCAGCUGCGCAGCAGCAGUAGCAUGGCAGAAGGAGCAUAGCAAGUACCAGUGGUAGCAGGCAGCAGCAUCAAAAGAGGAGCGAUAAGAGCAUCAGCAGGGCAGCGGGCAACAGGCUUCAAGCGGCAGCAGCAGUACAAGAGCGGGGCACGGUGGCGAGCACAGGUCGGCCCAGGGGAGUAGCGACGCGGUUGCGCGCGGGUCGCAGCCGGGGCACGACCACGCAUAGGAGCAAGCACGUACUCGUACAUAGGGGCUCGAACGCGGCCAUGGAAGAGGACAACCGAUCUCGGGGACGACGGCAAAUGACAACGAAUAAAAGGAUGGGUAGGGGAUUUGGCAUGGCUCACCGAGAGGAGGGACGGAGACGUGCUCGGGACUGCCAGGGUGGCGCAGUUGUGCAAAUCAACGAUGAGGCGGCUGUAGAUUCCGGCGAGGGGGACAGGCAUGGGCGGCGAUGCAGGGGGUUUCAGCCUCGAUCUCGUGGCGCCUAGGACGGAGAGGACGCCUAUAGAGCUUAUGGACACGCCGUCUUGGCGAGAUGCGGCCAACGGCCACAAAAACGACGAGGCGGCGGCGACCACGUCUCUGGCGUGAGCUGUUGGGAUGAAAGCGGCGCGAGG